CGAUCUAUUCUAAAAUAUUCAAUCCAUCUACACCAACUAUUCACACUGCAAACAUAUCUCAUAUGUAUGUUAAUCAAGUUGGUCAUGUUUCCAUACCUCAUCUAACACUUUUCAAUUCAUAUUAAGUUUCCAAAUUAACCUUAAGUCUUAUCUCUGUGGGUCAAUUGUGUGAACUUGAUUUUGACUUACAUUUCUCUUUCAAUGGUUGUUUGGUGCAUGAUCCUCAGAUGAAACAGAGUCUUGGGAUAGGUCGU
rnacentral:lncRNA from 1 species